CGCCUGUAAUCCCAGCACUUUGGGAGGCUGAGGUGGACGGAUUGCUUAAACCCAGGAGUUCGAGACCAGCCUGGGAAACAUGGUGAAACUCCAUCUCCACAAAAAAUACAAAAAUUAGCCAAACGCGGUGGUGCACGCCUGUGGUGCUAGCGACUCGGGAGGCUGAAGCAGGAGGAUCCCUGGAGCCCAGGAUGCUGAGGCCGGCUACCUCCAGUCCAGCACAGUGAACUGGUGCUACAAGGGCCAACCCAGGCUCUGCCCCAAAGCAGGAGCUGAGACCGUUUCCUAGAAGGCAGGCCCACUGGAAAUGUCUCCACCAAAAGCAGCUACAAACGAAUAUGACCUUCAGGUAUUAAGGCUUUGGUUCUCUAGAAAACUGUCACGGCACUGAGGUAACUUGACAACCCAUAAUCGCUGUUCUCCAUGUAAACUGUGGCUCUAUUUGUC
rnacentral:lncRNA from 1 species